rnacentral:rRNA from 1 species
UGAGUACGAGCUGCUACGGCAGCGAAGUGGGUGAUGUCAAGCUUCCAAGAAAAGCCCUAUACCCGUUAAGGCAUGAUGGCCUGUACCCGAAACCGACACAGGUGGGGUGGUAGAGAAUACCGAGGGGCGCGAGAUAACUCUCUCUAAGGAACUCGGCAAAAUGGCCCCGUAACUUCGGGAGAAGGGGUGCCACCGCAAGGUGGUCGCAGUGAAGAGGCCUAGGCGACUGUUUACCAAAAACACAGGUCUCCGCUAAGUCGCAAGACGAUGUAUGGGGGCUGACGCCUGCCCAGUGCCGGAAGGUUAAGGAAGCUGGUCAGCGUAAGCGAAGCUAGCGACUGAAGCCCCGGUGAACGGCGGCCGUAACUAUAACGGUCCUAAGGUAGCGAAAUUCCUUGUCGGGUAAGUUCCGACCCGCACGAAAGGCGUAACGAUCUGGGCGCUGUCUCGGAGAGAGGCUCGGCGAAAUAGAAUUGUCUGUGAAGAUGCGGACUACGUGCACCCGGACAGAAAGACCCUAUGAAGCUUUACUGUAGCUUGGUAUUGUGCCCGGGCUCUGAAUGCGCAGGAUAGGUGGGAGGCUUUGAUCCAUUGCUUGUGGGUGAUGGUGAGCCAACGGUGAGAUACCACUCUUUCAGAGCUAGGGUUCUAACGGUCACCCGUCAUCCGGGGACCGGACAGUAUCAGGUGGGCAGUUUGACUGGGGCGGUCGCCUCCUAAAAGGUAACGGAGGCGCGCAAAGGUUUGCUCAGGCUGGUUGGAAAUCAGCCGACGAGUGUAAAAGCAGAAGCAAGCUUGACUGUGAGACCUACAAGUCGAACAGGGACGAAAGUCGGCUUUAGUGAUCCGACGGUUCUGAGUGGAAGGGCCGUCGCUCAACGGAUAAAAGUUACUCUAAGGAUAACAGGCUGAUCUCCCCCAAGAGUUCACAUCGACGGGGAGGUUUGGCACCUCGAUGUCGGCUCAUCGCAACCUGGGGCUGAAGUCGGUCCCAAGGGUUGGGCUGUUCGCCCAUUAAAGCGGUACGCGAGCUGGGUUCAGAACGUCGUGAGACAGUUCGGUCCAUAUCCGGUGCAUGCGCAGGAAUAUUGAGAGGAUUUCUCCCUAGUACGAGAGGACCGGGAGGAACGCACCUCUGGUGUGCCAGUUAUCGUGCCAACGGUAAACGCUGGGUAGCCAUGUGCGGAGAGGAUAACCGCUGAAAGCAUCUAAGUGGGAAGCCCACCUCAAGAUGAGUAUUCCCAUGGCGUUAGCCAUAAGGUCACGGGCAGAACACCCGUUGAUAGGCUCUACGUGGAAGCCGGGUAACCGGUGAAGCGGAGGAGUACUAAUAGACCGAGGGCUUGACC